UAUUGAGUACCUGUGAGCCCGUGUGCAUAUGUUGCUUUGAAAUGGCUCCAGGGGCCACCGUCUAGCUUUCCUCUGGCCCCACUCCGUGCACUGGCUGGCCUUGACUAAAGAUGGGCCAAGCAACCCUUCACUGCCCUGGGCCACAAACCCCAUUGCAUUACACCUUGGAACUAAACUGAGACUACACUGGAGAAGACGAUUAGAGCAGGACCUAAUGGGCCAGGGCCAGCUGGAAGCAUCCGUUUAGCAGCCAGGUUGGGGUCCUGGACUGAAUAAAAAGGAGAAAGAGAGCCGAGCAUCGGCAUCCAUCUCUUUCUGCUUCCUGACUGCCGAUUCAAUGUGACCAGCCGCCUUGAGCUCCUGCUGCGUGACUUCCCCAUGAUGACGGACUGUACCCUUAAACUAUGAAGCAGAAGAAACCCUUCCUUCCUUUGUUAAGCUGCAUUUAUCUGACUUAGUGUCACAGCAACAAGAUACGUGAGUAACACACCCAGGUAGGAGUAAUUUUCCCUUAUCGGGGACUCUGCUCAGCAAUACAAGGACAGUGUCGGUCUUUAGAGACACUGGAUCACCUCUGUUCUGGGUGGAAACAGGCACAGUUUCCAGAGCAACACAGCCCUUUUAGAAUGUCUGCACGGAACCUGACUGUGCAUGGAGGAUGCCACGCCCUAACCUGAAGAUGCCCCACCCCCUGGAAAGAAUGUAUUUGAGGCAAGUGUGGGGAUGGGCUAUAAACCUCAUGAAACACAGAGACACAGAACCCAGCUGCUGCAGCCCCUCCCUACCCUGCUUAGGCUCCCAAAGAGCCUUGAUGCUCUGGUGACAAAAGUUCUUUUUAAACUUUUAAAGUUGUUAUUUUAUUAUUUUGUGUGCAUGGGUGUUAUGUAUGUAUGUCUGCAUACCACAUGCAUGCUUGGUGCCUUCAGAGCUCUGAACAGCAUGCGGAUCCUCUGGAGCUGGAGUUACAGACAGCUGUCGCAGUUGCUGGAGUCAGACUCUUCGGAAGACUAGCCUGUGUCCUUACCCACUGAACCAUCUCUCCAGCCCGGAUUGAUGUUCUUUCAAACCUUAUUUCAGCACAAAUGCUUUCACUUUUAAACACUGUGGGGCUCCCUUGGUAGUAUAUCAUUAAAAAAAAAUCUAUUGGAACAAGGGCCUCACAUCCACUGGCUGAAUUGACAGUCUGGUUGUGCCCAGCAUGCUUCUUUCAGCCUUGGAUGGUGCUUUGCCUCCUGGACUCCAGGAGGCCAACAUUUAGGUGGGUUGUACUUGAACACUACACUUUUCUGACAUCAGAGGAGACAACUGGGGCAAAGAGAGAAGGAGCUCCCAAAGGAACAGGGUCACCGUGGAGCUGUACAGCAGGAUUUACAGAAGUGGGGAGAUGAGGAAUGUGUGGCCUGGGGCUGUACAGAUGCUGUAAUGCUUUCAGAUUUGGGUGGGCAGCUCCUCUGGUCUAUACUGAAACCCCAGGGCACAGGAAGAGCAGAAGGAAUGCUUCCUGGCCCUGUCCCAGAUUGUUUUGUGUCCUUUAAUACUGGGCAGCUAAUGCUUGAGAUGCCCACUUUUAAAUACAACCACUGGGCACCUGAUGUCCGAGGCUUUGAACUGCCACACAAAUCCUUGAGGCAAAAUGUAGAGCUCUGUGCUGCUUCAGAUAUGGCUUCCAUGCUCCUGUAUGGCUCUGAUCACAUGAUGCUGUGCAUGCUCAGAAGUCAAGAGGAGACAUAGGUAGCCAUCCACAUGGCCUGGGGACUCCAGGAGGAUGGGAAGGAGUGGUGUUGGGAGAUGCAGCUGAGGAAGGAUACACCCUGGAACUGUGUUAUCUCCAACCUUUGAUUAGGUGGGCUUUCUUGGCUCUGCAGUGUGGAUGGUGUCCUGACUAGGGUAGCAUUGAGCAAUCUCAAGAGCAUUCAUUUCCUGACCCCAAGUUCCUGGGAGAUUCGAGUUUAUUCUCAUUGUUCCAACUACUCUUGAGAGAGGAACCAAAGCCAAAGAGCCACAACACCCAGGUCAGUGUUGGGGAAAGUGGGGCCAGCUCCAGGCCUCUGGCCUCAUCAGAAUCUUCAAUCACCUGAAUCCUAAACUACCCUUAUCUGGGCAUCAACUUGAAGAACAGUGGUUGUGGUGAGUCUGCAGUAGUGAACAGGAUGCUCUAUCCAGUGACUUCACAUAGAUCAGAUCUGUUGCCCCAUGCAGCCUGCUCAUGGCGACCAGCAAGGAGAUGUAGCUUUGCUUAGAUUCAGAAGGCCCUAUUGAGGCUCCAGGAAGAUCUAAGCUCAGGAUGGCAUGGACCAUCACAUUUAUUACAGCUUUUGUUACUGUUUUGUUUUUUUUCUUAAAAUAACUUCUGCCUUGUUUAAAUGCAUUUUCUGUGCAUUGCUGAUUGUUAACUAGACCACAGGAGUGAGUGUGUCUCUAACCACAUGUUCUGCCACUGAAGCCAUGAAGCUCACAUUGCACUAUUCAUUUAAAAAGGCUGGACCACUUCUAUUACUUAUUUUUCUGUUGCUGUGAUAAAAUGCCAUGACCAAGACAACUAAUAGGAAAAAGAGUUUGUUUGUUAAAGGGGUAAGAGUCCAGUGUGGUAGGGAGGCAGGUAUGGUAGAAGGAUCCGGAAGCUGAGAGCUCGCAUUUUUAAACACAAGCAUGAAACAGAGAGAUUGAACGGGUGUGAGAUUUUAGUAUCUACCUCCUCCCAGUGACACACUUUCCACAGCAAGAUCACAGCUCCAAACAUCCCCAAACAGUGUCACCAACUGGAAACCAAGUGUGUAAAUAUUUGAGAUGAUGGGGAGAAGUUUCUCACUCAUACCAUACACUGCCUUGAUUCAUUUUCCUGUAAGCAGGAGCAUUUCAAGUUAUACAUAUUUACUUUAGUAUAUUCCCUGGGGCAUCAGGAUUUCACAGUGAGAGCUAUCAGGUCAUUAGCUAGCAAUUCAGUUGCAGAAAAGCCCUGAUCCAUUCAGCUGUGGCCCCUCCAGCCUGUUACCUGGCCACCACAAACAAGAUCCAAGCUAGAUAAAAAGUAGAACUCAGCUACAGAGCUGGUGUCCUUGUCAUGCUGAGCUGGGCGUGGCUCGGGAGCCUGGUAUAUGGUGCCUUCUAAUGAAUGUAGUCUUUCUGAACAGUGUCCCAAGCCACCCUGUCAAAGGAUCGCUACCCCACCCCUGCCCUCAGGCUGCUGGGACUGCCAGAGGGCUGCACCCAUGGGCUGCGUGGCUUUCUUUCGAGAGCAAACUUGGCUGAUUCUCAAUGUACAGUGUGGAGAUUUUCAGGAGAAGGCUCAGAUGGAAACAUGAUGGCUCAGGAUUCCAGGGUGCAAUCUGAGCUCCCCUCCCAACUCACUAUUUUGAAAAUGACUGUCCAUACAGUGAUCAAGGGGUCAAAAUGUCACAUGAAAACACACAUUACAUCUUGCCAUCUCCGUGACUGAGACAGAAACACAAUUCUCCCCUUGCCGGAGAGGAAAAACAACCAAAUAAACUAGCUUGCAGAAGGUGGAUUCUGAAAGAAAGCCAAGGAGAUGCUGGUAGCUUGGAAAGAGAUG